CGUAGGCGCAAGCGUUGUCCGGAAUUAUUGGGCGUAAAGAGCUCGUAGGCGGUUUGUCGCGUCUGGUGUGAAAACUCAAGGCUCAACCUUGAGCUUGCAUCGGGUACGGGCAGACUAGAGUGUGGUAGGGAGACUGGAAUUCCUGGUGUAGCGGUGGAAUGCGCAGAUACCAGGAGGAACACCGAUGGCGAAGGCAGGUCUCUGGGCCACUACUGACGCUGAGGAGCGAAAGCAUGGGUAGCGAACAGGAUU
rnacentral:rRNA from 1 species